rnacentral:rRNA from 1 species
GAUGAACGCUGGCGGCGUGCCUAAUACAUGCAAGUCGAGCGAAUGGAUUAAGAGCUUGCUCUUAUGAAGUUAGCGGCGGACGGGUGAGUAACACGUGGGUAACCUGCCCAUAAGACUGGGAUAACUCCGGGAAACCGGGGCUAAUACCGGAUAACAUUUUGAACCGCAUGGUUCGAAAUUGAAAGGCGGCUUCGGCUGUCAUUUAUGGAUGGACCCGCGUCGCAUUAGCUAGUUGGUGAGGUAACGGCUCACCAAGGAAACGAUGCGUAGCCGACCUGAGAGGGUGAUCGGCCACACUGGGACUGAGACACGGCCCAGACUCCUACGGGAGGCAGCAGUAGGGAAUCUUCCGCAAUGGACGAAAGUCUGGCGGAGCAACGCCGCGUGGGUGAUGAAGGCUUUCGGGUCGUAAAACUCUGUUGUUAGGGAAGAACAAGUGCUAGUUGAAUAAGCUGGCACCUUGACGGUACCUAACCAGAAAGCCACGGCUAACUACGUGCCAGCCGCCGCCGUAA